CGCCGAGGCCCGCCCCACUGGCGGUGGCGCCUGUAGGGGCGGAGGAGAGCGCCUCUGCGCAAGCGCCGUCGCGCGCUCGCCGCCGAGGGAAGUUACUGCGCAGGUUUGCGUGGAGCUUGCUGAAGUACGACUGGGUCUCAAAGGGUUGGGGUUGUUGCUUUGUGGACUUUUUACUAUUUUUAAUGCCCGCAAAUACUGCUUACUGGACGCUUGUGCUACACUGGCCGCAAUGCUAAGCACACAUUUACUGCGUUCACUCAACAGUCCUAGAUUGGAGUGCAGCAAAGAGACGUUCAUCCUCGGGAUGUGGCAUAAAUGACACAAGCUGGCAGUCAGCUGGAAGAUAAAGCAAAUGUAUGAGAGGUCAUCCAUUACUAGGGAGAUGAAAGAGAUCACUCCAGAAUUCCUCCAAGUGGAAUAGCUGGGUUCAAGAAUAUGUGCAUUUUGUGGCCAAGUUGCCCUCCAAAAAGGGGAAUCAAUUUACACUCCCAUUAGCAGCCAACUUGGGAGAGUGUAUUUUCCUACAUCUUUGCCAACAAUGAGUGGGCAGCAACAGCUUUUUCUUCCCAGGCCCGGUUUUCGGGUGUUUGGUAAGUCUAUGUAGAAGGUCAGGGUGAGAUAUAGCCCCGGGAUGGGGGGAUGGUGGGGGAAACUCUCCACCCUGCUGCAGUCGCGAUUGGGCCAGCUGGGCACGUGAUCACGCUGGGCCAAUCAGAGCCCUUCCCCAGGGUCUUGAAAUUGGAUGGAGCCCCUGCCUUCUGGAAAGGAGUUGGCCAGUAGAUAGCUAGCUGUUGCUUGAUGGUUCCAGUGGCUGAGAAGGAGAAAAAGCUGAUUUUUAGGGAGUGAGAAUAAUGAAGUAUAUGCUCAAAGAGAAGCAGAGACGAAAGAAGGAAAGAGGGAUGUGCAUGCUCCCCCAGCACUCAGGUACCUGAUUGCACCUGAUCCUGAGACAAGCAUGUUUCUACACUUGGGUUCCCUUUUGCUUUAGCUGGCUCCAGGCAAUGUUACUGAUCCCAAAGGGACUUCAGUACUGUUGUCUACAGAUGCUGUUACAAUGAUCGAACCUUCUGGAAGUGUCUAUCUGGAAGUGUUUGUGCAAUUUACUCUCUGAAUACUUCCUUUUUUUGCUCAUCACUGUUGUUUGUUUUUUAUUUUUUAAAGAUUUUGUUUAUUUCUUUUAUAGAGAGAAAGAGAGAUCACGAGGAGAUCAGAGGGGAGGCAGAGGGAGAAAGAAUCUGAAGUUGACUCUAUACUGAGCUCAGAGCCGGACUCAGGGCUCAUCCCACAACCAUGAUGAGAUUAUGACCUGAGUUGAAACCAAGAGUCAUUCAGACCCCCAACAGACUGAGCCACCUAGGCAACCCCAGUGUUCGUUUUUUAGAGUAACUUUUUAAAUUGAAGGAUAGCAUACACAUAGCAGAUGCUCAUUCUUUAAAAGACCUAUUUGCAAUUAUUUUUAAAUUCAUUAUUCAAAAUUAAGUAUAGAACAAAUUGGUCAAUUCUCUCCAAAAAAUUUGCUGGAAACAUUCCCAGUGUUGGUAGGUAACGGGGGAGUGGAGAUAAAUUAAGUUUAGUCUCUGUGGCACCUGGGUGGCUCAGUCGGUUAAAUGUCUGCCUCUAGGUCACAAUCCCAGAGUCCUGGGAUAGAGCCCCACAAUGGGCUCCCUGCUCAGUGGGGAGCCUGCUUCUCCCUCUCCCUCUGCCCGCCCCCUCAUGUUUGCUCUUUCUCUCUAGUGUUCACUCUCUCUCUCUCUGAAAUAAAUAAAAUCUUUAAAAAACAUAUAAAAAAUUUUAAAAAGUUAAGUUUAGUCUGUAUCAGCCAGAGUUCACAACCUAUUGUGAGUGGGUGGAUGGGUGUGGAGAAAGACAUACAAUUAAAU